rnacentral:rRNA from 1 species
UCUCCUUCGGGACAGAGUAGAGCGGCGGACGGGUGAGUAAUGCAUAGGAAUCUGCCCAGUAGUGGGGGAUAGCCCGGGGAAACCCGGAUUAAUACCGCAUACGUCCUACGGGAGAAAGCAGGGGAUCUUCGGACCUUGCGCUAUUGGAUGAGCCUAUGUCGGAUUAGCUUGUUGGUGGGGUAAAGGCCUACCAAGGCAACGAUCCGUAGCUGGUUUGAGAGGAUGAUCAGCCACACUGGGACUGAGACACGGCCCAGACUCCUACGGGAGGCAGCAGUGGGGAAUAUUGCACAAUGGGGGAAACCCUGAUGCAGCCAUGCCGCGUGUGUGAAGAAGGCCUUCGGGUUGUAAAGCACUUUCAUUCGGGAGGAAGGUUUGUAGGUUAAUACCCUGCGAAAUUGACGUUACCGAAAGAAGAAGCACCGGCUAACUCCGUGCCAGCAGCCGCGGUAAUACGGAGGGUGCGAGCGUUAAUCGGAAUUACUGGGCGUAAAGCGCGCGUAGGCGGUUAGUUAAGCUGGAUGUGAAAGCCCAGGGCUCACCUUGGAACUGCAUUCAGAACUGGCUGGCUAGAGUACGAGAGAGGGUAGUGGAAUUUCCUGUGUAGCGGUGAAUGCGUAGAUAUAGGAAGGAACAUCAGUGGCGAAGCGACUGCCUGGCUCGAUACUGACGCUGAAGUGCGAAACGUGGGGAGCAACAGGAUAGAUACCUGGUAG